GACGAACGCUGGCGGCGUGCCUAAUACAUGCAAGUAGAACGCUGAAGGAGGAGCUUGCUUCUCUGGAUGAGUUGCGAACGGGUGAGUAACGCGUAGGUAACCUGCCUGGUAGCGGGGGAUAACUAUUGGAAACGAUAGCUAAUACCGCAUAAUAGUAGAUGUCGCAUGACAUUUGCUUAAAAGGUGCAAUUGCAUCACUACCAGAUGGACCUGCGUUGUAUUAGCUAGUUGGUGAGGUAACGGCUCACCAAGGCAACGAUACAUAGCCGACCUGAGAGGGUGAUCGGCCACACUGGGACUGAGACACGGCCCAGACUCCUACGGGAGGCAGCAGUAGGGAAUCUGCGGCAAUGGACGGAAGUCUGACCGAGCAACGCCGCGUGAGUGAAGAAGGUUUGCGGAUCGUAAAGCUCUGUUGUAAGAGAAGAACGAGUGUGAGAGUGGAAAGUUCACACUGUGACGGUAUCUUACCAGAAGGGGACGGCUAACUACG
rnacentral:rRNA from 1 species